rnacentral:rRNA from 1 species
UGAGUGAAUACAUAGCUCAUGGAGGGAACACGCAGUGAACUGAAACAUCUAAGUAGCUGCAGGAAGAGAAAGAAAUUCGAUUUCCUUAGUAGCGGCGAGCGAACGGGAAAGAGCCCAAACCGGCAGAUUUAUCUGCCGGGGUUGUAGGACUGCAACGUGGCACUUUGGCGGAUAGCAGAAGCGCUUGGGAAAGCGCGCCAGAGAGGGUGAGAGCCCCGUAGGCGAAAUCCAAAGAAGGCCUAGCAGGAUCCUGAGUAGGGCGGGACACGAGAAAUCCCGUCUGAAUCCGCGAGGACCAUCUCGCAAGGCUAAAUACUAUCCAGUGACCGAUAGCGAACCAGUACCGUGAGGGAAAGGUGAAAAGAACCCCGGGAGGGGAGUGAAAUAGAACCUGAAACCGUGUGCCUACAAGUAGUCAGAGCCCGUUAAUGGGUAAUGGCGUGCCUUUUGUAGAAUGAACCGGCGAGUUGCGUUAGUCAGCAAGGUUAAGUCAGAAAAGACGGAGCCGCAGCGAAAGCGAGUCUGAAUAGGGCGAAGAGUUGGCUGAUGCAGACCCGAAACCAAGUGACCUACCCAUGACCAGGUUGAAGGCGCGGUAAAACGCGCUGGAGGACCGAACCCACGUAAGUUGAAAAUUGCGGGGAUGAGUUGUGGGUAGCGGUGAAAUUCCAAACGAACUUGGAGAUAGCUGGUUCUCUCCGAAAUAGCUUUAGGGCUAGCCUCGCAAAGAGGAUGCUGGAGGUAGAGCUCUGUUUGGACUAGGGGCCCGUCAGGGGUUACUGAAUCCAGAUAAACUGCGAAUUCCAGACAUUUGUAUGCGGGAGUCAGACUGCGAGUGAUAAGAUCCGUAGUCGAAAGGGAAACAGCCCAGAUCACCAGUUAAGGUCCCUAAAUACAUGCUAAGUGGGAAAGGAUGUGGAGUUGCGUAGACAACUAGGACGUUGGCUCAGAAGCAGCCAUCAUUCAAAGAGUGCGUAAUAGCUCACUAGUCGAGUGACGCCGCGCCGAAAAUUUAACGGGGCUAAGCAUGAUACCGAAACUGUGGAUGUGCAUUAUGCACGUGGUAGGAGAGCGUUCUAGCGGCGGCGAAGCAUGACCGGGAGGACAUGUGGAGCUUCUAGAAGUGAGAAUGCCGGUAUGAGUAACGAAAGAUGGGUGAGAAUCCCAUCCGCCGCAAGACUAAGGUUUCCUGGGGCAGGCUCGUCCGCCCAGGGUAAGUCGGGACCUAAGGCGAGGCCGAAAGGCGUAGUCGAUGGACAACAGGUAGAGAUUCCUGUACUGCACCGAAUCGUUAUGAGCGAAGGAGGGACGCAGGAGGCUAUCAGCGCGUGGGGCUGGAUCCACGUUCAAGCGACAAGCUUUGGAAUGAGUCAAAUGCUUAUUCCUUCAAGAGCAAGUCGUGAUGAGGAGCGAAAUUAUAGUAGCGAAGGCUGAGACGUCACACUGCCGAGAAAAGCUUCUAGCCAGAGACGGUGCACCCGUACCGCAAACCGACACAGGUAGUCGAGGAGAGUAUCCUCAGGUGAGCGAGAGAACUCUCGUUAAGGAACUCGGCAAAAUGGCCCCGUAACUUCGGGAGAAGGGGCGCUGGUCGCAAGAUCAGCCGCAGUGAAAAGGCCCAAGCAACUGUUUAUCAAAAACACAGGCAUCUGCAAAAUCGCAAGAUGAAGUAUAGGUGCUGACACCUGCCCGGUGCUGGAAGGUUAAGAGGAGAGCUUAGCGCAAGCGAAGGCUUGAAUUGAAGCCCCAGUAAACGGCGGCCGUAACUAUAACGGUCCUAAGGUAGCGAAAUUCCUUGUCGGGUAAGUUCCGACCUGCACGAAAGGUGUAAUGAUUUGGGCACUGUCUCAACGAGAGACUCGGUGAAAUUAUAAUACCCGUGAAGAUGCGGGUUACCCGCGACAGGACGGAAAGACCCCAUGGAGCUUUACUGCAGUUUAAUAUUGGGUAUCUGUCAAGCAUGUACAGGAUAGGUAGGAGCCU